GGUGGCUCAGUGGUGGAGCGCUUGCCUUGCAUGCAUGAGGCCCUGGGUUUGAUUCCCAUCACCA
rnacentral:tRNA from 1 species